UUUUUUCCUUUUUCCGAUUGGGUCUCUCCCGAUUUUGAGCCGGUCUCCAUCCCACGUUUCUACGCCGGCGAUAUCCUCCCACGAUUUGGCGAUAUCCAUCUUCCGUAGGUGAUAUCCUCCCACGAUUGGCGCCGGUCUCCAUCACUUGCGGUCGCGUCUUCUUCCCUCUCGCGUGUCGACAUAGGCAUAAGCUCGAAGGUCCAUGGCAGGUUCUUCUAUUCCGAGGUCGAAGCGUCUGAGGAGGAAUGUUUCUAAUGUUGUUGGAGCAUCUGGUAAUGCUGGAACUAGUGAUGGCAGUGGAGCUUCAGCUUACCAAAUAACCCUAGGCUAGGGCUUUUUGUAUAAAUAACGCAGUAAAUACAUACUAGGCGUCUACGGCUAAACUCUUUCCAAUAUUCAGCUCUGUUGUGCCGAUCAGCGUGUGCGAUUUCAGUUUUCAAGGGAGUGAAACAUGAGGAGGUAUAGCCCAGCAUACUAUAGUCCUCCAAGGAGGGGGUAUGGAGGUCGACCUAGGAGCCCUCCAAGAAGGGGAUAUGGAGGUGGUGGAAGGCAUAGGGAACAGAAUCAUGGGAGCCUCUUGGUUCGAAAUAUUCCUCUAGAUUGCAGGCCAUAAGAACUUCGAGCUCCAUUUGAAAGAUUUGGACUAGUCAGAGAUGUAUAUCUUCCAAAGGACUAUUAUACAGGGCAAUAACAAGGGCUCAGGUAAGAGCCUGAAAUCAACAACGGAACUAGAUGCUCAAAGAGUGUGUCCCAAAAGUGUGUGUUGAACGUGCAACCAGUUGGCUCACCACCAUAGUCGGAAUUGUCCCAAAAUGUAGAAUAUAGAGUUGUAAUUUCAUUUUUUUUCACUUGAAUCGUUGUUGUAAACAAAAUGUAUUUUUUUAACUGAUGAAUAAAAUAAUCGCCCUAGCACCAUUAUGAUUUUUAAAUCA